UCGAACGGACGAAUGUGCUUUUGACUUUUGACCUUUGACUUGUCAAUUCUGCACCGUACCACUACGGUUCUGCUCCUCGCCGGCGAUGACGCCCGCGGAGACCUCGCCGCCGGCGCCAUAUCCCCGUGCUUCUCACUCUGUCUCAGCCCCGCUCCUCCUACAAGACCCCACAACCCAGGCCACGCCGCCUUGGAGGGAGCAGCUCACCCUCCGUGGCAUCGCCGUGGCGGCGGCGCUGGGCGCGCUGCUCUGCGUGGUAAUCCACCGCCUCAACCUCACCGUCGGGGUCAUACCGGCUCUGAACGUCGCCUCGGGCCUCCUCGCCUUCUUCCUCGCGGCGGCGUGGCGUGCUGCCGCCGGGAGGCUAGGGUUUGGCCGCGGGACGCCCUUCACGCGGCAGGAGAACACCGUCAUCCAGACGUGCGCCAUAGCAUGCGCCGGCCUCGCGUUUAGCGGGUGUUCCGCCUCCUACAUCUUUGCUAUGGACAGGAAGACUUAUGAGCUCGUGGGACCAGACUAUCCCGGUAAUCGAGCAGAAGAUGUUAGAGAUCCUUCACUUGGCUGGAUGAUCAGCUUUUUGUUCCUCAUUGCUCUCGUUGGGCCAUUUAGCAUUGUCUUGCUUCGAAAGGUAAUGGUGAUUGAUUACAAGCUUACAUUCCCUGGUGGGACAGCUACAGCUUUGAUGAUCAACAGCUUGCAUGGGAAAACGGAAGGUGAUCUUGCAGGGAAAAAGGUGCACUGCCUUGUAAAAUACAUGGGCAUUAGUUUUGUCUGGAGCUUCUUUAAGUGGUUCUUUAGUGGUGUUGGUGACUCUUGUGGUUUCGACAAUUUCCCAACAUUUGGGAUUGAAGCUUUUAAAAACACGUUUUAUUUCGACUUCAGUCCUAGUUAUGUUGGGUUUGGUCUUAUUUGCCCUCAUAUCGUGAACUGCUCAGUUUUCCUUGGGUCAGUCAUAUCCUGGGGCUUUCUUUGGCCAUUUAUCAGUGCACAAGCUGGUCAUUGGUACCCAGAUAACCUUGGUAACAGUGAUUUCAGAGGCCUGUAUGGUUAUAAGGUCUUCAUAGGCAUUUCUAUCAUACUUGGAGAUGGCCUAUACAACUUGGUUAAGAUAUUUGUUGUCAUUGCUAGGGAAUUCUGCAGUAUGCAAUCAAAAAAACGUGAUCUGCCUGUUCAAGCUCUGGAAGCGGAAGAUGACGGGAGUUGUGAACAAUUAGCAGAAGAGAAACUACAAACAGAGGUAUUCCUCAAAGAUAGUAUAUCUCCUUGGUUUGCUGCUUCUGGUUACAUUGUCCUGGCAGCAAUAUCCACCGCCACUGUGCCCACCAUAUUUCCCCAGCUCAAGUGGUACCUUGUCAUCUUGUGCUACUUCCUUGCUCCUGCCAUUGCGUUCUGCAACUCCUAUGGAAUGGGCCUCACCAACCUGAACCUUGCCCCCACCUACGGCAAGAUUGGCCUCUUCGCAUUCGCCUCGCUUGUCGGCAGUGAUGGCGGUGGAGUCAUCGCUGGCCUUGCAGCUUGUGGCAUCAUAAUGUCCAUUGCCUGCUCCACAGCAGAUCUAAUGCAGGACUUCAAGAGCGCGUACCUGACCCUCUCCUCGCCGCGGUCAAUGUUCAUUGCCCAGCUGAUCGGCAUUGCGCUCGGGUGUGUCAUAGCUCCACUGACGCUGUGGCUUUUCUGGACAGCCUUCGACAUCGGCGACCCUGACGGAGAGUACAAAGCGCCCUUUGCCAUCAUGUUCCGGGAAAUGGCCAUCCUCGGUAUCGAGGGCUUCUCCGCUCUGCCAUUGCACUGCCUUGACAUCUGCUACGCUGCCUUCUUCCUCGCCUUGGCCAUCAGUCUCCUCAAGGACGUGGCACCCGCAAAUGUGUCCAGGUUCAUCCCCAUACCGAUUGCUAUGGCUGCACCGUUCUAUGUCGGCGCCUACUUUGGCGUGGACAUGUUCAUAGGCACAGUGAUCUUGUACGUCUGGCAGAAGCUGAACCGGGAGGAGGCUGAUGGUUACGCAGUGGCUGUGGCGUCCGGGCUGAUCUGUGGAGAUGGGAUCUGGAGCAUCCCUUCUGCUGUUCUGUCCAUCCUGGGAGUUGUUCCACCCAUCUGCAUGUCCUUCAAGCCUUCCUCUGCUCCCAGGCAUGCCGAAUGGACCAGCAGAGGCCACCUGCCUUGUUCAGAAGCUCACAGGCCUGCAGCACAAGGCAGAAGGGUGCAGAGACGAGCAGCGGCAGAAGGUGGGCAGCCAUGGAGAUGCUGAGCAUGCUGAAGGCAGGGUACACCAUCCUGCGCAGCGAGACGCCGGCGACCGACCUCGUCAACACCUUCAUGGACUGGGCGGCGCGAAGGUCCCUUGUGCUCCUGGCCAUCUUCCUCCCGCCGUACUACAUCUACAAGCUCACCACGUCGGCGUUCGCUGCUGCCGUGCCAGAGGAUGUUGCAGGGAAGGUCGUGCUCAUCACCGGCGCCUCCUCCGGCAUCGGCGAGCAAAUAGCUUACCAGUACGCAAAGAAAGGAGCAAGACUGGCGCUAGUGGCGAGAAGGGUGGGCAGCCUGCAUGAUGUCGCAACGAGAGCGAAGGAUGUUGGCUCACCAGACGUUCUGGUUGUUGCCGGGGACGUUGCAAAUCUGGAGGAUUGCCAGAGGUUUGUGCAGGCCACAGUCGAACAUUUCGGCCGAUUGGAUCAUCUUGUGAACAAUGCUGGUGUGGCAUAUGUCUGCUGGUUUGAGGAAGUACCAGAUGUUGCUGAUUUGAAACAAGUCCUGGCCGUGAACUUCUGGGGCGCAGUUUAUCCAACCCACUGUGCUCUUCCCCAUCUGAAGAAGAGUGGUGGGAAGAUCUUCGCCAACUCUUCGGCUGCGGCAAUGCUGGCAAUGCCAAGAAUGAGCUUCUACAAUGCUAGCAAGGCUGCCGUCCUCAACUUCUUUGAGACCCUGCGGAUCGAACUCCAUGACGAGGUCGGCAUCACGAUCGCUACUCCUGGGUGGAUUGAGUCGGAGAUGACGAAAGGGAAGCACCUGUCGAAGGAAGGGACAGUGGAGGUCGAUCAAGACACGAGGGACGCUCAGGUGGGCUUGUUCCCGGUGUUGCACGCCGCCCGGUGCGCUGAGGCCAUCGUGGAUGCCAUCUGCCGUGGCCGGCGCCACCUCACUGUGCCAUUGUGGUACCGGGCGCUGUUCCUGUGGCGGACGCUCACGCCCGAGGUGACAGACUUGAGCCAGAGACUGUUCUACGGCCGGACCGCCGGUGGCCACAGUAACCAGGCAAAGGCCAAGAGGUUGCUGGAGUUCACCGGCGCCAAAGGUGUGCUCCAGCCGGCGUCGCUGCACAACUCGGAUAUCAAACGGGAGUAGCCAAACGCUGACAGAGGCUUGUUUGUUCGGCAGUACAAUCUACAUCCAAAUAAUGUGGACCUAAAUAGAACAUGUUAAUGGUCCAUCAUCUGUCACGUUCGUUCGUUGUGUGAAUUAUUUGUGCCUUAAAACUUUGUGUACACGUUGUGCCAAUUCUUCUUUCUGUGAGCAGAGUAAUUGCAUAGAUAGGUCGCUGUAAAAUAUUGUCAGCAGUCUAACAAAUGGUGAUGACCGUCUGCUUCCUGAUAAUAACAA